AGUGAACGCUGGCGGUAGGCCUAACACAUGCCAGUCGAACGGCGGCACAGUAAGAGCUUGCUCUUACGGGUGGCGAGUGGCGGACGGGUGAGGAAUACAUCGGAAUCUACUUUUUCGUGGGGGAUAACGUAGGGAAACUUACGCUAAUACCGCAUACGACCUACGGGCGAAAGCAGGGGAUCUUCGGACCUUGCGCGAUUGAAUGAGCCGAUGUCGGAUUAGCUAGUUGGCGGGGUAAAGGCCCACCAAGGCGACGAUCCGUAGCUGGUCUGAGAGGAUGAUCAGCCACACUGGAACUGAGACACGGUCCAGACUCCUACGGGAGGCAGCAGUGGGGAAUAUUGGACAAUGGGCGCAAGCCUGAUCCAGCCAUACCGCGUGGGUGAAGAAGGCCUUCGGGUUGUAAAGCCCUUUUGUUGGGAAAGAAAAGCAGCAGGUUAAUACCCCGCUGUUCUGACGGUACCCAAAGAAUAAGCACCGGCUAACUUCGUG
rnacentral:rRNA from 1 species